UGGGGAAUAUUGCACAAUGGGGGAAACCCUGAUGCAGCGACGCCGCGUGAGCGAAGAAGGUUUUCGAAUCGUAAAGCUCUGUCCUAUGAGAAGAUAAUGACGGUAUCAUAGGAGGAAGCCCCGGCUAAAUACGUGCCAGCAGCCGCGGUAAUACGUAUGGGGCGAGCGUUGUCCGGAAUUAUUGGGCGUAAAGGGUACGUAUGCGGUCUAUUAAGUCAGGUGUGAAAGCGUGAGGCUUAACCUCAGUAAGCACUUGAAACUGAUAGACUUGAGUGAAGGAGAGGAAAGUGGAAUUCCUAGUGUAGCGGUGAAAUGCGUAGAUAUUAGGAGGAAUACCGGUGGCGAAGGCGACUUUCUGGACUUUUACUGACGCUCAGGUACGAAAGCGUGGGGAGCAAACAGG
rnacentral:rRNA from 1 species